AGCGAACGCUGGCGGCAGGCCUAACACAUGCAAGUCGAGCGCCGUAGCAAUACGGAGCGGCAGACGGGAGAGUAACACGUGGGAACGUACCCUUUGGUUCGGAACAACCCAGGGAAACUUGGGCUAAUACCGGAUAAGCCCUCACGGGGAAAGAUUCAUCGCCGAAGGAUCGGCCCGCGUCUGAUUAGCUAGUUGGUGGGGUAAUGGCCCACCAAGGCGACGAUCAGUAGCUGGUCUGAGAGGAUGAUCAGCCUCACUGGGACUGAGACACGGCCCAGACUCCUACGGGAGGCAGCAGUGGGGAAUAUUGGACAAUGGGCGCAAGCCUGAUCCAGCCAUGCCGCGUGGGUGAUGAAGGCCCUAGGGUUGUAAAGCCCUUUCGGCGGGGAAGAUAAUGACGGUACCCGCAGAAGAAGCCCCGGCUAACUUCGUGCCAGCCGCCGCCGUAAGAC
rnacentral:rRNA from 1 species